CGGGUGCGUAACACGUGGAUACAUUGGAGAAGCGGGGAAUAGCCCAGGGAAACUUGGAUUAAUGCCGCAUGUGGUCGAAGGACUAAAGACGGGGACCGCAAGGCCUGUCACUUCUCUGUUGGUCUGCGGCCUAUCAGCUAGUUGGCGGGGUAAUGGCCCACCAAGGCAACGACGGGUAGCUGGUCUGAGAGGACGACCAGCCACACUGGAACUGAGACACGGUCCAG
rnacentral:rRNA from 1 species